UACGUAGGGGGCUAGCGUUGUCCGGAAUCAUUGGGCGUAAAGCGCGUGUAGGCGGUCCGGUAAGUCCGCUGUGAAAGUCGGGGGCUCAACCCUCGGAUGCCGGUGGAUACUGUCGGGCUUGAGUACGGAAGAGGUGAGUGGAAUUCCCAGUGUAGCGGUGAAAUGCGUAGAUAUUGGGAGGAACACCAGUGGCGAAGGCGGCUCACUGGACCGGAACUGACGCUGAGGCGCGAAAGCGUGGGGAGCAAACAGG
rnacentral:rRNA from 1 species